GACACGGCGCGAUCUGCUUUGGGGUUCGGGCUCGCCUGGUCCUCUAAGCACGGGACUCGGAGUCUUGUCCCAAAACACUUUUGAGACGCUGUGAGCGCGCCCUGGUGCAGCUUCCCUCACGCGCGCCGCCUUGUAAGCGGUGUCAGGGCGCUAAGGGCAUUUGGUACUGGGGGCACCGCGUUGCUGAGAGUGGCCCGAGGGGAAGGUAGGAGACCCGUCCCACGACCUGGCGGGGAGUCGUGCUCUGUUAGCCCAAACUAGGCUUGCAAAACACCAGGCACUUGCACAAUCGCUGUUUUUGAGAUUUCUACCCCCAUUUUAGUGACAAGGAAACAGGUUCGGAGAGAUUUUAAGUUCUUUUCGUUACACCACACAGGAAGAAGCAGCACUGAGCAUCUGGACAGGAGCAGGCUUGGGGUUAAGGCACUUCCGCUGCAAGCCCUUCUAAGGGAUGAGGAAACCAAGAGCUUUAUUUCACUACAGCACCAAAAGGAAACAAGACCAGAAAUGACAAAAUGGCAGAGGCACAGGAAGCAGAGUCUCCACACCCUGCCUUUGUGGAAGCAGUGCAGAGACAGCUUCACCCCACUCCGAGGGUCCCAGCAAGACUCGUGCCCACAGGCUGACUGGAGGCCCUCCUUUUAAACUGUGCUGACUGUGGACCUGCAGGAGGUG
rnacentral:lncRNA from 1 species